AUUAGAUACCCUGGUAGUCCACGCAGUAAACGAUGAAUACUAAUUGUCCGGGCAGAAUGGUGCCUGGGUGAUACAGCGAAAGCGUUAAGUAUUCCACCUGGGGAGUACGCCGGCAACGGUGAAACUCAAAGGAAUUGACGGGGGCCCGCACAAGCGGAGGAACAUGUGGUUUAAUUCGAUGAUACGCGAGGAACCUUACCCGGGCUCAAACGACACAGGAAUACUUUUGAAAGGAGGUAGCCAGCAAUGGUAUGUGUCGAGGUGCUGCAUGGUUGUCGUCAGCUCGUGCCGUGAGGUGUCGGCUUAAGUGCCAUAACGAGCGCAACCCCUACCGCCAGUUGCCAGCAGGUAAAGCUGGGGACUCUGGCGGGACUGCCGGCGCAAGCUGCGAGGAAGGCGGGGAUGACGUCAAAUCAGCACGGCCCUUACGUCCGGGGCGACACACGUGUUACAAUGGCAGGUACAGCGGGAAGCCACCUGGCGACAGGGCGCGGAACCCGAAAACCUGUCUCAGUUCGGACUGGAGUCUGCAACCCGACUCCAUGAAGCUGGAUUCGCUAGUAAUCGCGCAUCAGCCACGGCGCGGUGAAUACGUUCCCGGGCCUUGUACACACCGCCCGUCAAGCCAUGGAAGCCGGGAGUGCCUGAAGUGCGUGACCGCAAGGAGCGUCCUAAGGCAAUACCGGUGACUGGGGCUAAGUCGUAACAAGGUACC
rnacentral:rRNA from 1 species